rnacentral:rRNA from 1 species
AACGAACGCUGGCGGCAGGCUUAACACAUGCAAGUAGCGCGCCCCGCAAGGGGAGCGCCAGACGGGUGAGUAACGCGUGGGAAUCUACCCAUCUCUACGGAAUAACGCAUGGAAACGUGUGCUAAUACCGUAUACGUCCUUCGGGAGCAAGCUUUAUCGGAGAUGGAUGAGCCCGCGGUGGAUUAGGUAGUGGGUGGGGUAACGGCCUACCAAGGCGACGAGCCAUAGCUGGUCUGAGAGGAGGAUCAGCCACACUGGGACUGAGACACGGCCCAGACUCCUACGGGAGGCAGCAGUGGGGAAUAUUGGACAAGGGGCGCGAGCCUGAUCCAGCCAUGCCGCGUGAGUGAUGAAGGCCCUAGGGUUGUAAAGCUCUUUCACCGGUGAGGAUAAUGACGGUAACCGGAGAAGAAGCCCCGGCUAACUUCGUGCCAGCCGCCGCCGUAACAC